CUAGCUCCAAAAUACGAACAUGAAUGCCGCUACGAAGAAUAUUUCUAAACAGCAAGUUGUGUAGACUUGUGGAAAGUUUACAUUUCACCUGCCAGAGUCCAUCUGUCACAAUCAGAUCAGGAAAAUCCAUACAAUAUCAUUGACUGUGCAACACCCACUGCUGUAUUGAAGAAAAGAAAGACUUCACCUCCCCCAAAAUGGCCAUUCGGGUAGGUCUUGUAUUUCCUAAUCUUCCUCUACCCUGAUACUGCUGAAUGCAUUGAUUAAAACCCCCAUCUGAACACAAUGGUUGACAUCGAC